UUCCUCUCAGCUCCCAAAUAACACAGGACCUCAGACUCCUUCUGCAGUUACAUAAACUAAACAUGCAACGCCUGCAUCUGGAUUUUUUUUUGUCUGGAUAACCUGCAUCUGUUUUUUUUUCCUGAAUCCCCUCCAUGUGUUUCUAUCAUCCCAAUUCCCUCCCAUCUCCCUCUCUAGUCUCUACAUACAGCACCUAAGAUGGACGCCAACAUAACACGGUACAAGUACAUACUGACAGAGAACGAUGGUUCUCGCUCACUGGCGGCCUCACCGGAGGCUGUUGACGAAGGCGAGGAGCGAGUCGACGUCCCUCUUCUCCGACGGGUACUUGAUGGGCC
rnacentral:lncRNA from 1 species